rnacentral:rRNA from 1 species
GCAUGGCUGUCGUCAGCUCGUGUCGUGAGAUCGUUCGGUUAAGUCCGCUACGAGCGCAACCCUCGUCGUAUGUUAUAUGUGUCAUACGAGACUGCCGGUGGACAAACCGGAGGAAGUGGGGAUGACGUCAAGUCCUCAUGGCCCUUAUGGGUAGGGCUUCACACGUCAUACAAUGGUCGGUACAGAGGGUUGCCAAGCCGCGAGGCGGAGCCAAUCCCACAAAGCCGAUCGUAGUCCGGAUUGUUCUCUGCAACUCGAGAGCAUGAAGUCGGAAUCGCUAGUAACCGCGAAUCAGCAGGUCGCGGUGAAUACGUUCCCGGGCCUU